CUACAUUAUAUCGCAGCUGUUUGUCCCAUGCCAUUAGAAGUUCUCCGCACCAAGGAUUAAUAUAACCACCGUCUAUGAUCAGUUGUCUUCCAGGCACAGAUUGGACACCUGAGAAAUACAGCCAGCAAAGGGAGAGACUGAGGCCUUGGACGCCCGUGGCUUUCAUCUGAUGACACGAGCAGCACUGACCUGAAGGACGGUUCUAUCAUGGAACCAAGGCUUCUCCCCUAGGUACAAGGUACUGGGUUUAUUGAUUGUUACUUCCUCUUGGAUUCAGGUAGCAGUUACUGCUGAAUCACACAGACUGAUACAGGGCCUUAAAAACAGUAUCAUAUCAUCAUGUUGCGUACUUGGAGGCUCUCUCUUGUUUUGGAAACCUGAAAGAAUGAUAAGCAGCUUCUCUUCACCAUCAAGUGGGUCAGCGUGAUCUUUCUGAGAUGCGUUUUUGUUUUCGCAUGUGCCAAGAGUCACGUGGAGCUCGGCGUUAGAAUAUUAAAAAAGCUUUAGUCAAAAGAGGAAACAGUGAACGAGAUGACUUUUUGAAAUAACCUGAAGUCAACGGCUAAGAAGCAGCUGCUUGAGAGAGCCCUGACUGAGACACCGACCAAGAAGCCUGCAGAAGACAACUAUGUGCAAAUGCCCCAGGGAAGAGCAGAAGAAAUGCCCAGCUGAGCCCAGCCCAACUUCAUGAAGAACAACAAUAAACUGCUCAUGACAAACUUACUGCAGGAUGGCCAGAAACACCUCCAUGGAGAUCCACUUGACAAAUGAUUAUUUAAAAAACAAACAAACGAACAAACAAACCAGGGGCCCCUGGGUGGCUCAGUGGGUUAAAGCCUCUGCCUUCGGCUCAGGUCAUGAUCCCAGGGCCUUGGGAUCAAGCCCCUCAUCAGCUUCUCUGUUCGGCAGGGAGCCUGCUUCCUCCUC